GUCCGCAGUCAACCCAAAUCUCUCAUCUCUCUCUCUCAAACGAUCUCUCGCAGGCUGCAGCCUCUCAAGUUUGAAUUCUCAAAAUUUACAGUUUUUAUUCUUCAAUGUUUUCAUUUUCUUCGCCGCGAAUUUGCUUAUUAGUCAAAGGCCGAUGGGAAAGGUGCACAAGGUUAGAAGAGAGCACAGUGCUAGCGUUAAGGCAAUCGGACUUAACCCUAAGUCCCUCCAAAGAAAGGCUCCUCUUGUGUUUUGGAAGAAGAUGAUGUGAUGGGGGUUUGAUAGAGGGGCAAAAACUAUAAAGGACUGUUGUGAACUCACCUUUGGAUGUAUGUUUCAAGGGCAGAAAUUAAUCAACAUCUUGAGAGUAACAUUACCAAGAAGAACAAAGAAUAUCAUGAUAUGUUUGAAUAGCACAGAUAGCUAAUAAAGGAGGCUUCAAAGGUUGGAAGUAUUUUGUUGUUGAGGAUGAUGGGUAGACCAAUCAAGACAAUAAUUACUUGAAAUUUGUUUUCUCCAACAAAAUGGGAAGCAAUAGAGUCCUCUUCACAACUUAGGAUGGGCAUAUGGGCAUUCAGCUAUACGCAGAUAUUUCUUGUAAAUUGCACUCUUCAAAAUUUGUAAGAAAUAAGGAAAGUUGUGAGUUACUGAAGAGGAAAGGUUUUAUCAAAGAAAGUUGUUUUAUUGAGCUUGAAAAGGACGGGGAAUGCAUUGCUAUAAAAUGCGGUGGACUGUCACUUGCAGAAGUUGCCAUUGUUGGUGUCUUAGUCCAAUACAUUAGCAACAACUACUAUUGCAAGUGGCAGUCCAUUGCACUUUAUAGCUAUAUGUUUAUGGCCUCUUUUAGUUCAAAAAGGACAACUUCCCUUGAGAAAAACCUUCUUCUAGUAGCUCCCAACUUUCAUCAUUUCUUUAAAAGUUUAAAGAGUGCGGCUUACAAGCAGAAUCUGCAUAUUAGCUACAUUCUCAUGCCUAGUUAUUAAGAGAUUCUACUCCCUCUCAUGUUAUUGAGAAAAGCAAUUUUCAAAUAUUUCUAGUCUUGUGGUCCACACAUCAUCCAGGACAAUGAAAUGCUUACUACCCUCUAAAAGUUCCUUUAUUUUAGUUGUUAAAUGCUCUUCAGGCAUAUCAUGGUACUUCUUUUUCUUCAUUACUUUUGCACUCUCAACUCUCAAGAAGCUCAACAUCAUGUGUGGAGUUUGCAUUCUCUUUUUGAACCAUUGUGCAAAAUAACCUUUUGGAGUGAAUGGGGGUAAUAUUUUCCUUAUUAUUGGAAGAAAGGAAGAGAUAGUUUGGAUUGUGAUCAAUAACUUGUUCAUUUUUGCACCCAGCAGCUGAAUCAACUCUUGUGUGACAGGUUGUUUAGGUUAGGUGGCAGAUGAACCUGCAUCUACAUAUAAAGUUAAUCCAAUUUUGUGCUUGUGAGAAGGGUGAUGCCUAAACUCUUUGGAAGAUACAAAUUUGAUAUGUCAAAAUUUGUACAGGUAGAAGAAGAAUUCAAGUUUGUUGAGGUCUUGCAAUGGCAGACGAUUCCUCAAGAAGCUACAAGUCCAUUAAGAGUGCCCAAAUUUCUUUCUAAUCUUGUCUUAAUUGUUUAAGUCUCUGCUAUUCUUGAAUUUUCAGACUCUCUUGUUAUAGAUGUUCAUUGUGAUUGUUAUCUAUAUUGCUAGGGAUAUCGAAAUUACACUGUGAUGUUCAUGUCAUAAAUUCUAUAUCUCCAGAAUUAGUUGGUGUGUAUUAGAACCAAGAUUGAAGAUCAUUUCCAGUAUUUCAUAAA